UGUUAGAGACCCCAUAAUUGC
rnacentral:piRNA from 1 species